GAUGAAGAACGUAGCGAAAUGCGAUAAGUAAUGUGAAUUGCAGAAUUCAGUGAAUCAUCGAGUCUUUGAACGCACAUUGCGCCCCCUGGUAUUCCGUGGGGCAUGCCUGUCCGAGCGUCAUUGCUGCCCUCAAGCACGGCUUGUGUGUUGGGCCCCCGUCCCCGGUUUCCCCCGGGGACGGGCCCGAAAGGCAGCGGCGGCACCGCGUCCGGUCCUCGAGCGUAUGGGGCUUUGUCACCCGCUCUGUAGGCCCGGCCGGCGCCAGCCGACACCCAACUUUAUUUCUAAGGUUGACCUCGGAUCAGGUAGGGAUACCCGCUGAACUUAAGCAUAUCAAUAAGCGGAGGA
rnacentral:misc_RNA from 1 species